rnacentral:rRNA from 1 species
UACGAAGGGGACUAGCGUUGUUCAGAAUUACUGGGCGUAAAGCGCACGUAGGCGGAUUGCUAAGUCAGGGGUGAAAUCCCGGGGCUCAACCUCGGAACUGCCUUUGAUACUGACAAUCUCGAGUCCGAUAGAGGUGGGUGGAAUUCCUAGUGUAGAGGUGAAAUUCGUAGAUAUUAGGAAGAACACCGGUGGCGAAGGCGGCCCACUGGAUCGGUACUGACGCUGAGGUGCGAAAGCGUGGGGAGCAAACAGG